CUAGUCUCACCUGAGGGUGGAGAGCAGAGUGAGGAGACAGGCACAAGACAAGUCUAACCUGAGGUGGGAGUUUGAAGAGGAAGUGUGCUUGCUCAGAGGAAGGAGGGCCCGACUGCCUGGAAGAGCAGAGAAGGAUCCUCACCCAGCUCCUGGCAUUCAAGCAAAGAAGUGCCAACUAGAGGGGGCAAGAGCAGUGUGUGCAGCAUGGGCAGAGAAGGGGGAUUCUAAUGUCUGCAAUCCUUUCGCAAGUGUGGUCCCAAGAGCGGGCUAAGUGUGGACCUGGGUGAGGCAGUGCAGCGCCAGCCUGAGUGCAGCCAAGAGCAGAGACCAUGCUGGACUACAGGAGCCCAGGAUGAUGGCAUUACAGUUCUGGAUCCUGACCCUCCCUGUGGGCACGUAUGCUCACCAGGCCCAGGACUUAUUCCACAGCAAGAUGGAACUAAGCCACCUGGUCGUGGAUGAGACACUGGGCACCUGGGGACAGUCCUUGGUUUCUACUCCAACAAAUCUUAUGGUUACACAUUCUCCUAUGUGUGGGUCCCUGAAAUGCUUUUCUCUUGACUCCGUGAAACAGCCUUAUUUCCACAGCAAGUGGCCUGGCUCUUUAUCUAGUCUGUGCUUGGCAAUGUAUUUAUUGCCUUCCAUGAAGUGGAUGCCUCUUUGAAAUCAAUGCCUAAACAAGCAAGCUUAAGUCAGGCACUUGCAUUACAAAAAGAAAAGCCACUGUCAGGAUUUAUAGUACAAUGACUCAUAUGUUUGUGAUGAUGCUGGUGUAAAUCUGUGCUGCCAGUCCUAUAAAAAUAUAGCACACACAAUUAUAGUAGUGGGCUAUACCAUCUGGGUGUAUAAGUGCAUUCUAUGAUGUUCACACAAGGAGAAGUCCCCUAACAAUGCAUUUCUCAGAAUGUAACCUUGUCUUGUUGUUAAGUGGCAUAUGACUGUAUUUGAUUUUUGUUGUUGAGUUGUAGUUCUUUAUACAAUCUGGAUAUGAACCUAUAUCAGGACAUGAUUUACAAAUAUUUUCUCCCAUUUCAUAGGUUGCCUUUUGACUCUGUUGGUUGUGUUCUUCGAUGCAGAAAGUAUUAAAGUCUGAUAUAAUCUCAUUUGUAUUUUUGUUGUUUGUGCUUUUGGUGUCGUAUCCAAGAAAUCACUGCCAGAUCCAAUAUCAUGAAGCUUUCCCCUAUGUUUUUUUCUAAGAGUUUUAUCAUUUAAGUCUUUAAUCCAUUGCAAUUUAUUUUUUGUACAAAGUGUAAGAUAAGAGUUGGAGGGAACCAAAGUUUUGCCACUCUGAAGCUGCCUUUUUGGGAUAUUGAUCAGGAAGAAUGCUUGACUCUCCUGCUUUUCCAGCCCAAGAGGUUCAGACAAAAAGAAAAAAAAAAAAACUAUUCAGGAAGGAUAACUACAAUUUUCGUCUUAGCCUGAAUAGCCUAAUUUGAAUUAUAUAUGGUAAAUAAGAAGGCUUCAUGCUGGGGUCUGUUAGUUAGAAACCUCUUCUAUCCCAUUGUUUCCGAGUUGCUUAGCAAGAAUGUUCUUGUCAUAUAUGUUCUGCUCUUCCUCAUCUACCUGUAAAUUGCCCAUUCUCACUUCUGAAAUCUAAUACUCUGUCACCUCACCCUUUCUCCAUUGUCCAAAAAUAUCAUAUAUACAACGUUGCCUCACUAUCUUUGGAAUUUUCAUGCCUUUGUGAAUUCCCUAUGCACAUGUAUUAAAAUUUUAUUUUCUUCUGUCAA